UACGGGGGGUGCGAGCGUUGUCCGGAAUCACUGGGCGUAAAGGGCGCGUAGGCGGCCCGAUAAGUAGGGGGUGAAAUCUUGCGGCUUAACCACAAGGCUGCCUUCUAAACUGUCGGGCUGGAGCACGGUAGAGGCAGAUGGAAUUCCCGGUGUAGCGGUGGAAUGCGUAGAGAUCGGGAAGAACACCAGUGGCGAAGGCGGUCUGCUGGGCCGUUGCUGACGCUGAGGCGCGACAGCGUGGGGAGCAAACAGG
rnacentral:rRNA from 1 species